rnacentral:rRNA from 2 species
ACAGGGUGACAGCCCCGUACACAAAAGCGCAUGUGCUGUGAGCUCGAUGAGUAGGGCGGGACACGUGGUAUCCUGUCUGAAUAUGGGGGGACCAUCCUCCAAGGCUAAAUACUCCUGACUGACCGAUAGUGAACCAGUACCGUGAGGGAAAGGCGAAAAGAACCCCGGCGAGGGGAGUGAAAAAGAACCUGAAACCGUGUACGUACAAGCAGUGGGAGCACAGGUUUACCUGUGUGACUGCGUACCUUUUGUAUAAUGGGUCAGCGACUUAUAUUCUGUAGCAAGGUUAACCGUAUAGGGGAGCCGAAGGGAAACCGAGUCUUAACCGGGCGUUAAGUUGCAGGGUAUAGACCCGAAACCCGGUGAUCUAGCCAUGGGCAGGUUGAAGGUUGGGUAACACUAACUGGAGGACCGAACCGACUAAUGUUGAAAAAUUAGCGGAUGACCUGUGGCUGGGGGUGAAAGGCCAAUCAAACCGGGAGAUAGCUGGUUCUCCCCGAAAGCUAUUUAGGUAGCGCCUCGUGAAUUCAUCUCCGGGGGUAGAGCACUGUUUCGGCUAGGGGGCCAUCCCGGCUUACCAACCCGAUGCAAACUGCGAAUACCGGAGAAUGUUAUCACGGGAGACACACGGCGGGUGCUAACGUCCGUCGUGAAGAGGGAAACAACCCAGACCGCCAGCUAAGGUCCCAAAGUCAUGGUUAAGUGGGAAACGAUGUGGGAAGGCCCAGACAGCCAGGAUGUUGGCUUAGAAGCAGCCAUCAUUUAAAGAAAGCGUAAUAGCUCACUGGUCGAGUCGGCCUGCGCGGAAGAUGUAACGGGGCUAAACCAUGCACCGAAGCUGCGGCAGCGACGCUGAUGCGUUGUUGGGUAGGGGAGCGUUCUGUAAGCCUGCGAAGGUGGCCUGUGAGGGUUGCUGGAGGUAUCAGAAGUGCGAAUGCUGACAUAAGUAACGAUAAAGCGGGUGAAAAGCCCGCUCGCCGGAAGACCAAGGGUUCCUGUCCAACGUUAAUCGGGGCAGGGUGAGUCGACCCCUAAGGCGAGGCCGAAAGGCGUAGUCGAUGGGAAACGGGUUAAUAUUCCCGUACUUGGUGUUACUGCGAAGGGGGGACGGAGAAGGCUAUGUUGGCCGGGCGACGGUUGUCCCGGUUUAAGCGUGUAGGUGUGUGUUCCAGGUAAAUCCGGUUCACUUUAACACUGAGGCGUGACGACGAGGCACUACGGUGCUGAAGCAACAAAUGCCCUGCUUCCAGGAAAAGCCUCUAAGCAUCAGGUAACAUCAAAUCGUACCCCAAACCGACACAGGUGGUCAGGUAGAGAAUACCAAGGCGCUUGAGAGAACUCGGGUGAAGGAACUAGGCAAAAUGGUGCCGUAACUUCGGGAGAAGGCACGCUGACACGUAGGUGAAGUGAUUUACUCAUGGAGCUGAAGUCAGUCGAAGAUACCAGCUGGCUGCAACUGUUUAUUAAAAACACAGCACUGUGCAAACACGAAAGUGGACGUAUACGGUGUGACGCCUGCCCGGUGCCGGAAGGUUAAUUGAUGGGGUCAGCGCAAGCGAAGCUCCUGAUCGAAGCCCCGGUAAACGGCGGCCGUAACUAUAACGGUCCUAAGGUAGCGAAAUUCCUUGUCGGGUAAGUUCCGACCUGCACGAAUGGCGUAAUGAUGGCCAGGCUGUCUCCACCCGAGACUCAGUGAAAUUGAACUCGCUGUGAAGAUGCAGUGUACCCGCGGCAAGACGGAAAGACCCCGUGAACCUUUACUAUAGCUUGACACUGAACAUUGAGCCUUGAUGUGUAG